GGCAGAGGAAGCUCUUCAGGCUGGCCAGGCACUGAGGUCUCAUCACUCCAUGAUUCCUGGGAAGGUCUGAGACCGGGGCCUCCCAUGUCCCUGAUCCGGCUCUUCCUGAGUGGGGAGGUGCGUUCCCAGAGAGCAGGGCUCCCCAUACGGGCAGAAUGGGCAGGAGAAGCCCCGAGGGGGAGGAUGCCUCCUUCCCAGGAGCUUGGAACAGGCUCACCGUUAGGCAGCGUGAGUCCCAGUUCUUCUACUCCAGGGCCUGUGCUGUUCCCUUCAUGCAAUGUC
rnacentral:RNase_P_RNA from 1 species